UACGUAGGCAGCAAGCGUUGUUCGGAAUUACUGGGCGUAAAGAGUGUGUAGGCGGUGUUCUAAGUCUGUUGUGAAAUCUCCCGGCUUAACUGGGAGGGUGCGGCGGAAACUGGAAUGCUAGAGUCCGGAAGAGGAGAGUGGAAUUCCUGGUGUAGCGGUGAAAUGCGCAGAUAUCAGGAAGAACACCCGUGGCGAAGGCGGCUCUCUGGGACGGUACUGACGCUGAGACGCGAAAGCGUGGGGAGCGAACAGG
rnacentral:rRNA from 1 species